UACGGAAGGCAGCAGUGGGGAAUAUUGCACAAUGGGCGCAAGCCUGAUGCAGCCAUGCCGCGUGUAUGAAAAAGGCCUUCGGGUUGUAAAGUACUUUCAGUCGUGAGGAAGGUGUUAAGGUUAAUAACCUUAGCAAUUGACGUUAGCGACAGAAGAAGCACCGGCUAACUCCGUGCCAGCAGCCGCGGUAAUACGGAGGGUGCGAGCGUUAAUCGGAAUUACUGGGCGUAAAGGGCACGCAGGCGGUUAAUUAAGUUGGAUGUGAAAUCCCCGGGCUUAACCUGGGAAUGGCAUUCAAGACUGGUUAGCUAGAGUCUUGUAGAGGGGGUAGAAUUCCAUGUGUAGCGGUGAAAUGCGUAGAGAUGUGGAGGAAUACCGGUGGCGAAGGCGGCCCCUGGACAAAGACUGACGCUCAUGUGCGAAAGCGUGGGGAGCAAACAGGGACUUAGAUACC
rnacentral:rRNA from 1 species